GCCCAGAUGGUGGAAUUGGUAGACACCCUGGUCUUAGAAGCCAGUGCCUCUGGCGUGAGAGUUCGAGUCUCUCUCUGGGCACCA
rnacentral:tRNA from 1 species